ensembl:lncRNA
AUGGGCCACCUGCUCGCCAAGGGGGCCACCAGCCGGAGCCGGGACAGCGCCGCCACCACCCACCGCCGCCGCCGCCGCCGCCGCUGGCGGAGGAAGGUGGCGGCGCGGAGCCGCAGCUGCUUCCUGCGGGGGCCCUGCAUGCUCUGCUUCGUCGUGCACGGCGCCAGCCCGCCCACCGCCGCGCCCACGCCGCCCGGCGGGCACCCGCUGCCGCCCUCCGCCCGCCGCCUCCUCCUCCUCCGCCUGCCGCCCGCCGCCUGGCAGCCGCGGGGCCGCCGCCAGCGCCUGCUGCUCUCGGGCCUGCUGCCCUCGCCGCUGCGGGGCCUCCUCCCGGGACCGGCCGGGCCGCCUACCGAGGCGCUCUCCGACAUGGUGUGCAAGCGCAAGGGGGCCGCCGGCCUGCCCGCCUGCCCGCCCUGCAAGCAGCCGCGCUGCAACGCCGCCAGCGCCGCCGCCAGCGCCGAGACCGAGGCCGCCGCCUGCCAGUGCCCGACCGGCGAGCCCCAGCCGCGCGCCCUGCCCUCGGACGGCGCGGACGGCAGCGAGGGGAGCGGAGGGGGGCAGCCCGCCCCGCCGCCUCCGCCGCCCCCGGCCGAGGGCGAGAAGGAUCCGGAGGAAGAGAGGAGCGGCCCGGUGGGCUGCCAGGAGCCGCAGGAGCACCCCGGAGACGGCUGCCGAGAGCCGCUGGCCGCCCCCGACAUCAACCAGCUGCCGCCCUCCAUCCUUCUCAAGAUUUUUUGCAUGUUUCAUCAUCUCCAUCUUAAACUGUUGUGGUGAUUCACAAGCAGCACAGGCCUCUUGUAGUGAGGACAGCGUGGGUAGCUGGGAUUAAGACUAUCAGCUCUUUCAAGUAAAGAUAAUCUGCUCAUUAGUUGGAACCCUUUCUUCACAUUAAUAUGAAAGGUAUGGCAUCAGUAUCUCCUGUUAACUUUGUAGGGACAGAAAUUAAAGUUGGGUUUUGCAUUGCAACUAGGCCAGUCUGUUAGCAAGUGGCUGCUAAGAGCAGCGUCUAUCACUUUGUAACCUCUAGCUGCAUAUUCCUGCUGCUUCCUUUUUGCUCUGUAGGGUAAUUGCGUAAUUGCAGACUGAGUUGAUUCAGUUGGCUAAUCAGACACCAAUCUAACGUUGCAAACUCUUACUCAGGAUCAGCUACUGUCUCUGAAUGUAGCCUCUUGUUGUGGUUUAACCCGGUCGGCAGCUAAACACCACACAGCCAUUCGUUCACCCUCCCCUCUCCCUCUCCGGGUUGGGGGUGAGAAACGGGAAAGUGAAGCCUGUGAGUUGAGAUAAAGACAGUUUAUUAAGACAGGAAAAUAGUAAUAACAAUAAUAAUAAUAAUGAUAAUAGUACUACUACUAAUAAUGUGUACAAAACAAAUGAUGCACAAUGCAAUUGCUCACCACCCGCUGACUGAUGCCCAGCCUAUCCCUGAGAAGCCAGCCCCCCACCCCGGCCGGCCACCCCUAUAUAUUGUUUAGCAUGACGUCAGAUGGUAUGGAAUACCCCUUUGGCCACUUUGGGUCAGCUGUCCUGGGUCUGUCCCCUCCCAGCUCCUGCUGCACCCCUAGCCUCUGCCUGCUGGCAGAACAGAGCAAGAAGCUGAAAAGUCCUUGGCUUGGUGUAAGCACUGCUCUGCAACAAUUAAAACAUCAGCAUGUUAUCAGCACUCUUCUCGUCCUGAUCCAAAACAUAGCACCCUACCAGCUGUGGGAAUAAAAAUGUUGUUUUUGCAGAGUUACA